GUUGGCGACCAAAGCAGAGGGGCUCACCCGUUCCCAUUCCGAACACGGAAGUUAAGACCUCUUGCGAUUUGCACUGUACUGCGCGAAAGCGCGGGAACUGUAUGACGUUGCCAACA
rnacentral:rRNA from 1 species